UCAAUCUGGCUCUCCUACAGUUGACCGCGUAAAUCUUUCGCCUUUUACUAAAGAUUUCCGUGUAGGAGAGCGUCAAAGAUACUCUGACAUUUUUUGGAAGUCCUCCAGGGGACU
rnacentral:snRNA from 1 species